AAAGAAAGAAAAAAGAAAUACAAUCAUUCUUCCCAGAGUGAAGCAGAAGAUGUUUCACAGACAGCAUGUGUCCUCAGAGCAAAUCUUGUUACAGUCUAGUAUAUGCCUAGAUCUGGAAAAUAACAAGAUGAAAAAAGAGAACCUGAAAGACAGAACUUUGAUCAUUUGCAGAAGGAGAAACAGAAUUCUCUACAAAUUGCAUUAAAUUAUUAGAAAUGAGACAACAGAAAUGGGUAAGAUGGGCAAGGAAAUGCAGAAGAGUUAUUGGAAAAGGAGACUUCAAGCCCACAAAGCAAAUGUAGCAGGCAGAGAAGAAUGUGAAACCACAAACCCUAGUUGGAGCCCCAUCCCAUGGGAAGGCAGGGAAUUUUUUUCCCUUACUCCAUGUGGGUAUUACAAAGUUUGACAAAGCAGCUCUCAGAGCUUGCCUUGGUCUAUACUAAAGGGAGGGAAGAGAAAAAAGCAGCAGGUCAGGAUCCCAGGAAAAGGAGCGUCUCCUGACUCAAAGACUAACAGAACGAGAAGGUGGAGAGCAGAAAAUGAAAAGGGGUCAUGUGAAGUUUACAAAGCUCACUACUGUAAGGAGGAGAUAUAAUGCAUGCAUAUUUGUGUGCAUAUCAGUACCUGGUACAUCACAGGAAAUUAAUAAACUCUGAAUAAAUGAGUGAGUGAAACCAGAAAAGCAACGCUGUCCAUGACUCCAUGAGGAAGGGUAACUGAAAGCUCCUGGUUUGGAACCUUCUUGGAUUCUGCCCCAUGCAUCUCUUCCCCUGGUUGAUUUGUGUCUGUAUCCUUUCCCUGUAAUAAACUGUAAAUGUGAGUAAAA